rnacentral:rRNA from 1 species
UACGAAGGGUCCUAGCGUUGUUCGGAAUCACUGGGCGUAAAGCGCAUGUAGGUGGCUUAAUAAGUCAGGUGUGAAAGCCUCGGGCUCAACCCGAGAAGUGCAUUUGAUACUGUUAAGCUUGAGUAUUGGAGAGGGUAGUAGAAUUCCUGGUGUAGUGGUGAAAUACGUAGAUAUCAGGAGGAAUACCGGUGGCGAAGGCGGCUACCUGGCCAAAUACUGACACUGAGAUGCGAAAGCGUGGGGAUCAAACAGG